CAUCACCAGCACAGGGAGAUCAUCGGAACAGCUACACCCCUCUUCCAGCCCUGGCCACCGGAGAGAAGGAUGGUGAGCAGAAGCAGAGACCCAGAGGAGAGUGUCAUCAGGCCAUGGAAACCUCCUGGAUCAGGAAGCUCAGCUGGAGAGAUGUCCCACCUUCCACAAGGGCAUGGACACAAAGAUAUGUAAUCAAAAUAACACCAGCCUGGUGUAAUUUAGGCAUCAGCCGCUGGCAAGUGCCUUGGUGAUGCCAUGGGCAUAUCAUACCAAGCAGGACAUUGGUAGUUCCCUGUGUCACACAGGCAUGGGCGACAUGGCCAGCACAGGGAAAUCAUAAGAAGAGCUUCAACCCUCUCCCAGCCCAGGCCAGAGGAGAACAGUAUGGGCCAGAGACCCAGAGGAGAAUAUCAUCAUGAUCAUGGAAACCUCCUGGAUCAGGAAGCUCAGCUGGAGAGAUGUCCCACCUUCCACAAGGACAUCAAUACAAAGAUAUGUAAUCAAUGUAACACCAGCCUGGCUGUAAUUUUUGGCAUCAGCUGCUGGCAACUGUCUUGGUAAUGCUGUGGGCAUAUGACAGCAGGCAUAACAUUGGCUGUUCCCUGUGUCACGCUCGCAUAAUGAACAUGGCCAGCACAGGGAGAUCAUCAGAAGAGCUUUAAAUCCUCUCCCAGCCCAGGCCAGAGGAGAGCAGGAUGGUGAGCAGAGACCAAGAGGGCCAGAGGUCCAGAAGAGAACAUCAUCAGACCAUGGAAACCUCCUGUCCUCGGUUCCUCAGCGGUAGUGUUGUUCCACCUUCUACAAAGAUAUCGAUACAAAGAUAUGUAAUCAGCAUUACACCAGCCUGGCUGAAUUUUUGGGCAUCAGUUGGUGGCAACUGCCUUGCUGAUGCCAUGGGCAUGCCACAGCAGGCACAACGUUGGCAGUUCCCUGUAUCACACAGGCAUGGGUGACAUGGGAGACAGGGAGAUGAAAUGGGCAUAGGGAGAUCAUCGGAACAGCUGCACCCCUCUCCCAGCCCAAGCUACUGGAUAGCAGGAUAGUGAGCAGAAGCAGAGAGUCCGGCCAAGUUCCUCAGACUAACGGAUGAACUACAAGCAAUGCUGGAUCCUCAGCGUUGACUAUCUCUCUUGCUUUCUACAAUGACAACUUGCUUUCAUUUUCUAUCUCUUUUCUAUCACCCAUCUCCCUUCCUCAUCUCCCUAAGUAACUAGGAUUUGUAAUAAACUGGCCUG